UAUGUGAUCGUCUCUCGCAUAUCAAUAAGCGGAGGAAAAGAAACUAACAAGGAUUCCCCUAGUAACGGCGAGUGAAGCGGGAAGAGCUCAAAUUUGAGAUCUUAAAGGGUUUCCCUUUACGAAUUGUAGUUUAAAGAAGUGUUUUCUGUUGAGGUUUUGGUAAAAGUUCUUUGGAAUAGGACAUCAUAGAGGGUGAGAAUCCCGUAUUUGACCUUUACUUUCAACUUUGUGAUACACUUUCAAAGAGUCGGAUUGUUUGGGAAUGCAGUCCAUAAUGGGUGGUAAAUUUCAUCUAAAGCUAAAUAUUGGCGAGAGACCGAUAGCGAACAAGUACCGUGAGGGAAAGAUGAAAAGAACUUUGAAAAGAGAGUUAAACAGUACGUGAAAUUGUCAAAAGGGAAGCGUUUGACGCCAGUGUUGUUUUUCUGAAAAUCAAUUAAAGAACUGUUUAUGCUAAGUUGUUUAGACUUUAUCAGCUAACUGUUUAGUUUUGAGCUUUUCUUUAAUGCACUUUUCAGUUAACAAGUCAACAUCAAUUUCUUUUGCUGUAAAAAAGCUUGAGGAAGGUGGCUUGAGAUUCGUCUUAAGUGUUUAUAGCCUCCUGCCUAUGCAGUCGGAGAGAUUGAGGUCUGCAGCGUAGAUCCUUCGGGGCUAAAUGCAUUUGUGCUAAGUUAUAGCAUUUUAUAGACAACUUGUUGACUAUGAUUUGUCUUGUAGCUUACUCGCUUAUGUUAUUUUACCUACGCUUAGGAUGUUGAGUAGCGACAUACGCAC
rnacentral:rRNA from 1 species